AUUGAACGCUGGCGGAAUGCUUUACACAUGCAAGUCGAACGGCAGCACGGACUUCGGUCUGGUGGCGAGUGGCGAACGGGUGAGUAAUGUAUCGGAACGUGCCCAGUCGUGGGGGAUAACGUAGUGAAAAUUACGCUAAUACCGCAUACGAUCUAUGGAUGAAAGCGGGGGAUCGCAAGACCUCGCGCGAUUGGAGCAGCCGAUAUCGGAUUAGGUAGUUGGUGGGGUAAAGGCCCACCAAGCCAACGAUCUGUAGCUGGUCUGAGAGGACGACCAGCAACACUGGAACGGAGGCACGGUCCAGACUCCUACGGGAGGCAGCAGUGGGGAAUUUUGGACAAUGGGCGAAAGCCUGAUUCAGCCAUUCCGCGUGCAGGAUGAAGGCCCUCGGGUUGUAAACUGCUUUUGUACAGAACGAAAAGGUUUCUACUAAUACUAGGAGCUCAUGACGGUACUGUAAGAAUAAGCACCGGCUAACUACGUGCCAGCCGCCGCCGUAA
rnacentral:rRNA from 1 species